UCUGAAAGGCCCUUACCAAGCGUGCCCCGCGGCGGCUGCAGGGAGGAGACCUGGGGAGGACCUGGGGAGGAGGGCAUGUUCUGCAGCAGCUGCAUCGGGCAAUUCUGUGCCUUUAAAAAAAAUGGAGCUAACCGAUUGCGCCGAGGCACGGCGUUCUGUGCUUGUGUUGGCCUGUCCUACUUAGGAAUUGGCAGCGUGGAAACCUCGCGGAGUUUUCCAAGUGUAUUGCAGAGCACGUCGAAGGUUACAGGAAGCCAGCAGGGACAGCUCAAGUCUGAAAGGAAUGAUUAAUCACAUGCAAUUUUAAGGCCCGUGGUGCGUUUCUUGUUGCCCUUUAGGGUACUCAAUUUCGCUUCGUAUAAAUGAAAAAAAAAAAAAAGUCUUAAUGAUAGAGCUCCAAAAAUAGUUUAAUCAAAAAUAACAUAGUAUGCAUUGGCUCAUCUGUGAUGCUGUUGUUCCUCUGUAAAUUUAAGAAGCACCACGGGAAUAAAACAUUUCUAGUUGAGCUUGCCAGAGAAACAGAGUGAGUCACCGUCACUGCUUUUUUCUAAAGUUAAGGUAUUGACUAGCAUCCUGUCCUUGGAGGCUAAAGUAUUUGGGGAGAGCCUCUGACAAUCCAAACAUUCUCAGGUCAUUAACUCAGAAACCUCGUGUAUUCAGGAGACUCAUGGUUACAUCUCAAAUACUAAAAGUCACAGCUGUUAGGAAAAAGAAGGAAAUGAUGGCUCAGCAGCCACAGGAAAGGACCAUAAACGGGUGUGCUUUACAUCUUGGAGAACAAGAUUUUUUUCUGUUGCUGUAAAUUCAGGUGCAGAUCGAAGCAUCUGUGAAAUGAUCUGAAAGAUAAGGUUAUACCCCAUGUAGAAGUGGCUAAGAAAACAAGCCAUCACUAUGUUGGUGGAGGAACUGCAGUUUGAUUCUGUUAAGUAUUCAGAAGCAAAUUUGCAGUGGAUGAAUGUAGCAGCAAACUAAUUUUGUCAUCAGUAAUGCAUGAAAGAAAAAACAAUGAAGAUGCAUUUGUGUAUACCCAGGCUUAAAAGAAUUAAACAUGGAUUCAAGAUUCCUCAUCAGCCAAAGGAUCAAAGUCCUAAUAUUUCAGAAACCAGUGAGGGGCAGCAGGUUUUCACAUGGAAAAUAUUACUGUCUUUCAUGUUUAAGGAAAUACGGAGCUUGCCCCUACUCCAGUGGACUACCUGCAUGUGGUCUGUCUGUUGUCUUGAUCCCAGCUACUCAGUUAUGCCACAGGGAAGCGACCAGCCUGGAGGUCUGGAGCAAAGCAUUUUGAAUAGCUAAUCUGUUUUACAGAGAAUUUCUCCAUGGUUUCUUCAUGAAGCUUUGAACCAGGGACCAAAUCCUUGUUUGGCCAAACAAUUUUCUGUAUACCAUUUGAAAAUACAUCUGGCAGUUGCCAUUUGGACACACUCCUAUCUCCUAUCCUCAGCUGAAGACAACUUUCCUGCACAGCUUUUCAGUAACAUCUCAGUGUGUAUAUACAGUAAAUAUUUUGGUAGAAAUUACAAGUGAAAAUUAAAAGUCUAAAUUGUUAUGCUGUUAAACCCUGUGCAGCUGGUAAUAAUUCUAUCCAGAAUGAAUGUAAGGAAUAAAUAGAUCAUAAUUCUUUACUUGUAGUCCUAU
rnacentral:lncRNA from 1 species